GUCUUCUGUUAAAUUUUCAUAUUGAAGUUGUAAGCCGCAAAGGUAAAUAAAUAAAAAAAGAGAGGACAGUUGAUUUUCAGCCUCGCGCUGUAUAUCUUUACUGCUUAUUCAUGUAUGUAUGUACAAACCAACUGACUAGCCUAACAACGUGUUCUGGUGGUGGGUGUUCUUUGGUCUAGCCACCAUUCUACUGUGCUCUGUGCUGUUCAAGAUGGCUGAGAGCGCGGAUCGCAAAUUUCGGCGUGAAAUUAAUCGGCGCGUCAGUGCUAGUUUUCAGCUUAUUGACAGUGAGGCCGAUGUCAUAAAUGACACGCGGUACGUUGACCGAGAUUCCCGCAACGCCGAAAGAGAGAGCGACUUGCCCUCCGAGGCUUGUGCGGUCGACCUCGAAGACGGCCAUCGUCGCCUUUGUGUUCAUGACAGAGAACGGCCUUCGGCACACUCCUCGAUCGUUCCAGAAACGGAUGUGCCCCAAGGACACGUUUUGAUUUCUGGCGACGCGUGCUACCCCAGCGGCUGCAGUGUUUCUGUGCCUCACGAUCACACAGACUUCGAACGGCGUGCCUUCCAUGACAGCAGCGCUGCGGCUUCGACUUCGGCGACCUCGCAGGUGAGGCAGAGGGAUUCUUUCGAAUUGGCACCGACUGGGAGUAACGAAGAGCAAGUUUGUGAACGCGGCAGUGUGGACAGCUUGCUGGCCUUUCGUGAGAGACUGCAAGCGUGGGCCUUACAAUCUCGCGCAUCGCACACUUCAGUUACAUCGCUCUUGAGAGUACUACAGUCCCACGAAUGCUUCAGCGCGCUCCCUUCAACUGCAAGGGCAUUGUUACAGACGCCCAAGAAGUGCCUGGAAGUGUUGCAGCUGGCCGGCGGGAAAUACCAUCAUUUCGGCCUCAGUGCAGGCCUACAGCGAGUGCUGCAAGAUUGUGCAGAACUACCAAGAAUUUUGAAGCUUAGCUUCAACAUUGACGGUCUGCCGGUUUCAAAAAGUUCACGGGGCCAAUUUUGGUGCAUACUGGGACGCAUAAGUAAUUUGGAGGACAAAGCACCAUUUAUAGUGGGUGUUUUUUUCGGAAGCAGCAAGCCCAACAACGCGAAUGAUUUUUUGCGACCAUUUGUUUGUGACAUAAAUGCUGCUAUCACAACAGGGAUUACCAUUGGAGAAACUGCAAUUCCUGUUAGCUUGUAUGCCCUCAUAUGUGAUGCACCAGCAAAGGCAUUUGUAUUAUAUGUCAGAAGCCACACAGGCUAUUACAGCUGCACCAAAUGUGACGUAAAAGGUGUCUACUGUGAGGGCAGGGUGUGCUUCCCAAACGUCAAUGCUCGCAAGCGAACAGAUGACAGCUUUCGCUUAAAAGUCCAGGAGGAGCAUCACACAGGCGAAAGUAUUCUUGAGGAACUUCCUUUUGACCUAGUGAAAGAUAUACCAUUAGAUUACAUGCACCUUGUGUGCUUGGGUGUCAUGAACAAGCUCUUGACACUGUGGGUACGUGGCCCAAAAGUGACCAGACUUGGAAGCAAAGUGCGUCUUGAGAUGUCGGAAAAAAAUUCUCAAAUUGCACGGUGUGUUCCAUGUGAUUUUAGCCGAAAGCCGAGGAGCAUUGCUGAACUUGAUCGGUGGAAAGCGACUGAGUUUCGCUUUUUUCUUUUAUAUGGAGGACCCGUUGUUUUGUCAUCACUGAUUCCUGCACACAUGUACAAGAACUUCUUAGCUUUACAUGUGGGGAUCUCUGUUCUUUCCACACCAGCUGCACCUGCAAGUGAGAUAGAGUAUGCCGGAAACAUGCUCAAGUUUUUUAUCCGGACAUUCAUAAGCAUUUAUGGCAAAGAGCAUGUUUCACACAAUGUGCAUGGCCUGUGUCAUUUGGCAGAUGAUGUUACACACCUUGGCCCCUUGGACUCAUGGAGUGCCUUCCCAUUUGAAAACCAUAUGUCCUCGUUAAAGAGAAUGCUGAGAAAGCCAGACCUUCCCUUGGAGCAACUUUGCAACAGGCUUGCUGAGCAGGCACACCGUCCUCUGAGGCAUAAGAAAACUGAAAGCCAUGUCGUAUUUGCUGCAGAGCAUGCUGACGGGCCACUUGUUGCUCCAUGCCGAGGCCCCGAGUUUAAAAAAGUAACAUUGCCUGGCAAUGUCAUUCUUAGAGCUGAAAAGAGAAAUGGGUGCUGUAGGCUAAGUGAUGGGUCAAUCGUCGUUAUUGACAAUUUUGCUCAUCUCCCGUGCGGUGAGCCAUGCAUAAUUGGAAGGAAGUUCCUCAAGUGUGAAGAUUUUUAUUCUCUGCCAUGCCCUUCCUCCAUACUGGGAAUUUACUCAGUGUCUCAGCCUUCUAGUCUGCGGUAUUGGCCUCUGAAGAACAUCUCACAGAAAUGCCUGAAAGUGUAUUUGAAAAGGAAAAGCAUUGUUUUCCCUCUUUUGCAUGCUACAGUGCACAUGUAAUAAACUUUCACAACUGUGUCAGAAUGUAUACAGAAUUUGAAUUUGGCUUCUCUUUCUUUUGCAAGGUCAAUACGUUGUCGUUCUCUUCCCAGAAGAGGAUGAUACAUCUGGGAUCAUCCUCAAAAGUUGGCUGAAAGGCGACGGCUGCCUGUGGCCUCGACAAACUAAAUAUGUACAUAGUUUGUUGAAGGCGAAAGCGACUCCAGGGGCUGACUGGAUAGAAGUGCCUUGCACUGUUGUCCGAGAAUUUGAUACAUAUGCCGAAGCACGGGCAAAUCUGCCAAGGGUAGAAAAUGGAUCCAACUUGGACGGCGAGGCAGAACUUGGGAAAGGCAGAAGAAAAAAAAAUAAGAGAUCCUAUGAGUCUGAAGAUGAUGAAGGGGCACCAUCACCUCCAGCUUCAAUGAUAAGACGUAUAACACCAUUUUUGAACUUUACGUAAAGUGAACUGCUUGUACUUAUGUUUUUUAAUAGUAUUGAAUCUUUUUACAUCCUGCAAUGCCUAUUUUACAAUGAUAGCCCCACGGAAUUGCUCACACUGUUUUCUGUUAUCUACCGCCAAAAGUGCUUCAUCUCAGUGUCAACUCUGCAUGCGUAUUCAGGUCCUAAAAAGGCAUCACUGAGCAUGCUAACAAAAUAACUGAAGCCAUGUAGGCACAAAUUUCUAAAACCGACAAUAAUGUGCAGAGAAGCCAUAAACAACUGUGUGCUUGUUUUGCUGUGUUUAGUAGCACUUCUCAUUUUCAAUGUUAUCUCAGCUUUUGCCAUUUUAUAUGUUGCAAUUCAGCGCUAUUACUUCAUGAACACGUCUUUACAGAAUACGUGCGUCAACUCAUGCGAAUUUCGCAAACUAUCCUGAUGAGGCUAGAGCAGCUGGGACGACAGGUUGAUGCCAUGCAGCAGCACCUUUUCAACACAACAGUGAGGCUUCAAGAUGAGACAAAUGAUGAUGUGGUUUUGACACCGGUCAAGGAUAUUGACCAAUUUCUAAGUCUUGAGGGGAGACUUGCUGCUGAUGGCAACAUUAAGCUAAAGCUUAUACAGCAGCUUGCUGGCCUUGGUGGCUCAACUUUUGGGGCAGCAGCCAGGAGGAUGCUGGAGCUUCUGCUAAGCCUUGAGGUUGCUGUGCAGUUCAGCUGGGCAGGCCAAAAAGGCAAAAGGAAGUUUGUGGAUCUAGGUGUCACAGAUGUCAUUUGCAAGGCCGUGAGGCGAAAUUUUCCGGAAACAAAAAAAAAUGACAUCGAGUGUGUGAUUAAAGUGUGGCUUCGGCAUGCUGGGGAAAAGCUCCAGAAGCAGCGCUUAAGAACUUCUCGCACUCACCAUGAGGAAUGUCUUCAAAGUGUCGCGUUGUCAAGCCCAUCGGAUGAAGACCUCUGAAGGCACAGGGCAAGAAGUCUCAUCUAGUGAAAACUGCCAAGUUUCAUUCCUGAAAAUAAACAUGUUUUCUGUGCA
rnacentral:misc_RNA from 1 species